ACGGCUGCCCCCUGGGGGGGGCUCGGGGGGUCCCACGCUGCAGCUCUGCCUGGAGGGCGCCGACGCCGCGUGGUUCUACCUGGAUGGGAGCAGCAUGAGGCUGAACGCCUCCAAUGGGCGCUGCCUGGACCGCGAGGAGCUGGAGUCCCCGGUGCUGAUGGUGGCUCUGAUCUGCGCUGAGGACGGCUCUGCUCCGGUGGAGUACCGGGUCAUCGUGCAGGUCCUCAAUGAGAACGACAACCGACCCCGCUUCCGUGGGGACCCCAACCUCACCCACAACGUCAGCGAGGUGAUGGGGGGCGGCCAUGGGGUGGGGAUGGGGUGGACAUGGGGACAAUGGUGGGGGCAGGAUGGAUGUGGGGACAGGUUGGACGUGGGGACAGGUUGGACACGGGGACGGUGGUGGAGAGUGGAUGGGUGUGGGGACAGGAUGGACGUGGGGACGGGACAGACAUGGGGACAGGACAGACAUGGGGGCAGUGGUGGGACUGGAUGGACAUGGGGACAGGAUGGACAUGGGGACAGGCUGGACGUGGGGACAGGUUGGGCAUAGGAAGAGUGGUGGAGACUGGAUGGGUGUGGGGACACAGGUGGAACUAGGGACAGGGGUGGCCAUGGGGACAAGGAAGGCAUAGGAAUGGGGACAGGGAUGGCCAUGGGGACAAGGACAGGCAUAGGAAUGGGGACAGGGGUGGCCAUGGGGACAAGGACAGGCAUAGGAAUGGGGACAGGGGUGGCCAUGGGGACAAGGGUGGCCAUAAGAGUGGGGACACGUGGGGACAGGGACUGCCAUGAGUACUGGGGUGCCCAUAGGAAUGGGGACAGAGUUGGGGACAAGGAUGGCCAUGAGGACUGGGGUGGG
rnacentral:lncRNA from 1 species